GUGUGUGCAUGUGUGUGUGUGUGUGUGUGUGUGUACUAGAGCUUAGAUCGGGCCCAAAAAAUCAAGCCCGACCCUACCCGAGCCCGUGCACAUUGUGCCCGAGCCCGACCCGGCCCGACACAUUAACUGUAAUUAUGAGCCCGAGCCCGAUUUAAACCCGACAUUU